AUUUCUUGGAAGGUAUUAAGGAAUCAACGGAGUUAAGCCAGGAUAGCAGAGAGUUUAAUAUAUAAAGUAUUAUAGUAUUUUCACCACCACCGAGCUAUAAUCGGUUAGCAGGCCCCUAUUAAGCAAUCUUACAUAAGAUGGAAAGUUAUAUACCGAGCCUAUUGUGGCCGAGCGCCUAUGAGUAAGCCCAGAAUGGCCGAGACACAGAGCCUAGUAUGACCGAGUGCCUAUGUGCGAGCAUACUAAGGCAGAGCAGUUACACAUAUCGAGCCUUAGGGCCGGACAUCUAUUUUAAUUACUAUAUUGAGAGAGAUGAGUCAGUAUCAGGAGGUAAGCAUAUCUUCAAUAAUAUUCAACUCCCAGGUACAUUCAGUUGUUA